rnacentral:rRNA from 1 species
AUACGUAGGGGGCAAGCGUUGUCCGGAAUUAUUGGGCGUAAAGCGCGCGCAGGCGGCCCUUUAAGUCUUGUGUUUAAGCCCGGGGCUCAACCCCGGGCCGCAUGGGAAACUGGGGGGCUGGAGUGCAGGAGAGGGAAGCGGAAUUCCACGUGUAGCGGUGAAAUGCGUAGAGAUGUGGAGGAACACCAGUGGCGAAGGCGGCUUCCUGGCCUGUAACUGACGCUGAGGCGCGAAAGCGUGGGGAGCAAACAGGAUUAGAUACCCUGGUAGUCCACGCCGUAAACGAUGAGUGCUAGGUGUCGGGGGUUUCGAUACCCCCGGUGCCGAAGUCAACACAGUAAGCACUCCGCCUGGGGAGUACGCUCGCAAGAGUGAA